UGGACCAAUGAUGAGAAUUGCAGGCAUAUGAGUCUUGGAUGAUGAAUAAUAUGUGUCUGGAACUCUGAGGUUCAA
ensembl:snoRNA SNORD114-12 small nucleolar RNA, C/D box 114-12